AUACCUAGCGGCAGACGGGUGCGUAACAUGUGGGAAUCUGCCUUUUGGUUCGGAACAACACGGGGAAACCUGUGCUAAUACCGGAUAAGUCCUUACGGAGAAAGUUUUAAUGCCAAAAGAUGAGCCCGCAUUUGAUUAGCUAGUUGGUGAGGUAAAAGCUCACCAAGGCGAUAAUCAAUAGCUGAUUUGAGAGGAUGAUCAGCCACACUGGGACUGAGAUACGGCCCAGACUCCUACGGGAGGCAGCAGUGGGGAAUCUUGCACAAUGGGCGAAAACCUGAUGCAGCGAUGCCGCGUGAGUGAAGAAGGCCUUUGGGUUGUAAAGCUCUUUUGUCGGGAAAGAUAAUGACUGUACCCGAAGAAUAAGGUCCGGCUAACUUCGUGCCAGCAGCCGCGGUAAUACGAAGGGACCUAGCGUAGUUCGGAAUUACUGGGCGUAAAGAGUAUGUAGGCGGCUAGAUAAGUUAAUUGUGAAAGCCCAAAGCUUAACUUUGGAAUUGCAAUUAAAACUAUUUAGCUGGAGUAUGAUAGAGGAAAGCGGAAUACAUAGUGUAGAGGUGAAAUUCGUAGAUAUUAUGUAGAACACCAGUUGCGAAGGCGGCUUUCUGGAUCAUUACUGACGCUGAGAUACGAAAGUAUGGGUAGCGAAGAGGAUUAGAUACCCUCGUAGUCCAUACCAUAAACGAUGAUUAUUAGAUGUGGGGAAUUAUUUCUCUGUAUCAUAGCUAACGCGUUAAAUAAUCCGCCUGGGGAGUACGACCGCAAGGUUAAAACUCAAAUGAAUUGACGGGGACCCGCACAAGCGGUGGAGCA
rnacentral:rRNA from 1 species